GUUUUGUUUUAUUUUGUUUUACCUUUUUUUCAGUUUGGUUUCUGUUUUUUUUUUUUUUCCCUCUGCCCACAUUUGGAAAUAUCAAAACAAACCUGAGAAUGAGACUGUUCUGUUCUUGACUUUGUCAUGUGAUUAAUAAUCGGGAGAGAACUGAGUGGUUUUUUAUGGGUUACUGAUGAUGACUUUUCCCAUUGAAAUAUGUGUGCUGCAUUGAGCACUAUAUUUUUAAGCACCAGUACAGACCUCAAUGCAGUACAAAACAGAGAGAAAGACAGGAUCUUGCCUUUGAAGGUCAUGGUAUUAUAAGUAAGCAUUUUGUUCCCUGGAAGUACUACUGGUGGAAAAAUACUACAUGAAACCUAUACAAAGUUAAAGAGGAGGCAGUAACUCUCUAAGAAACACAAUCAUGAUUUUAUAUGACAACUGCUGACUUCAUUUUAUACCACCAUUGAGACAGACUUGAGAACAUUGUUUUUGUAAUGUGAAAGUAUAGCAAAGCAGAGGUCACAACAUUUUUUAGAAUUUUGAAAAGUCAUUAUUAUGUUUCAGCUUGUGAUAGGUACAUGACAAAAUAUAUAUAUAUAUAUAUAUAUAGUAGACCUAACUUGUGAACAAAACCUGGAAUAAAUAUUGCAAAUUUUUCAUGUUAGUUAUUAGUCUGAUGAGACAAUCAUGUUAUUUAUGGGAGGAGUAGUAAGAAAACUAGGUUCUGUAUAAAUGACUCCAGAAAACCACUUCCUAGUUGGCUCUGUGGCAUUAUUGACAUUAAAGUUAAUUACUGGAACAGCUGUAAACAAAAUUUUAGUGGCCUUUUGGCUUUGUUAAAGGAUUAGCUUUUCACUACAUUUAUUUGGAUAUGAGGAAACAUCUGUGAGAACUCUUUGUUCAAUCUAGUGUGGUGCAAUAUGCCAGUUAUGAAGAAUUUUGGAAACAUAAUUCUCCUUUUUAGUCUGAUGAGAUUACCUUUUAGAUAGUAGUGAUGACUGAUUUUAGAUUGAUGAGAUUAAUGCUUUCCAUAUUAUACUGUGGAAGGGAUUUUCUCCUACAUGUUGACUUGAGAACUUUUUUCCCACAAAAUAGAGCUUCUUCAUCUUUUCCAGGCUUUUUCUUCUUUGGCAUCACAGUGAUUAAUGAGUUUAAUUUUUGCAGGCAACUGCCAGGAGGUGCUGAGUAAGAUGUAUCAUGCUGAUUGUGUGUAACGCUGCUCCUUUUAAUUACUGGGAUGAUAACAAUGCAUUAAUCAGGUGCAUAAAAAAUUCAGUACUUUUCUGUAACACAGAAUAUUGAUCUAUUUUAUAAGGCACUGACUAUAAAACGAUGAUCACAGAAGUCCUUCUUAAAUUGAAUUUUGUAUGAUAAGUUGUCUUUUAAAAAUAUUGAACCCCCCACUGAAACAUCAUAAAACUCUUCUAUUUUAAGAGCCAUAUGCUGCAUUCUUACAGGUUCAUUACUUAGCCAAAACUCAUGUUGGUUUUAACAGGAGACUUAACCAUAUAAAGAAGCCAGUCCCAAAGUACAAAAGACCUCAUUUCUUUGAAUAUUCUUUCUACAACUGAAUUCUGAAUAUUUCUUUCUUUCCUGCAUUUGCUUAAAACUGUAUUUGGCCAUGAACUAUACUUUACUAGUCCUGCAGUUGAUUAUUCAGACUGAUUUAGCUUUUGAGAAGUUUUUCAUUCAGAUAUAAAUAGAGAUUAUUUUGAGAUGCUUCAGUAAAACUGUGUUUCCUGCUUGGAUAAGUUAAGGAUUUAGUAAAUCAAAUAUCCUUUGUUUACAGACUGAGUCUGAGAAAGUGAGAGUCAGAGCCAUUAGUGUAAAAAAAAUGUAAUUUAGUAUGUCAAACUUGCUGUUGCAUGUAAUUGAAAGUGUUAAUUUUCAGUUCAUUAUUUGUCUGAUGAGAAGAGAUAUUGCUUCCUAAAAAUGUGUGUCAAGGACAGUGUUUCAGUAAGGUUGAGGCCUGAGCUGUAGGCAACAGGCAUUUCAGAAGUGAAGUGCUUUUUUUCCUAGACACUUGAGUGAAUUGAUUGUAUAGAAGGGUUUCUAGGACUGUGGGAAUCAUGACUUUACUAUAAGAUAUAAUAAUUUGAAUUGUAACCAGAAGCCUAUCUACAAAUCUGAAUUGUUGUGCAUAUGGGCAGAAACUACGGUUUGAAUCUGUAAGAAUCUCCUCUUCUGCCUCUUCUAGGUGAGUUCUUGGGUGCUGAACUCAGUUAUCUUACAGUCAAUAAGAUGUGGAGAGCUGGGACUAGUUCUUUCAGUGGAAAUAGUUAGGCCCUGCUGACAUUCUGUAAGCUCGCCUUUUGAAAUAAAUAGAAAUUGCAGCCUACUUCCUUCAGAAAGAAUAGUUAUAAACCUUAUAAAAAUCAUGGGUUAUAUUUGCACAGAAGCCCAUCAUAUAUUCUGUCAUUACUGAAUACUGGACACUCUGACCUGCAGGUGAUAAACUUUUUAUACUUUGUUUUAUAGCUAUAUUUAUAAUUAAACUACCUUAUGAUAUUUGCUACGGGUUUAAAAUCAGUCUCUAUUUCUGCAGCCUUUACUAGCCAUGGUGAUGAUACAUGCACUAAAAAAUCUGCCAGAGAGAAUGUAUUUUUAAGUAUUCAAGAAUAACUGUGUGAAGGGGCUGAAUCAUCUCUCUAAUGGAAGUGAACUGUGCAAUAGGUUGGGAUACCUCAUGUAGAGUACUCAGCUCACAUUAUUUCUCUUUUGAGCAAGUAGCAGAAAGUGCAGAAAGAAGAGACUGGACCCAAGGUUGGAGCAGCUCAAGUUGGUUUCCAAGGGGUCUUUCAAAGAUAUGGGAAGUGUGAAAAAAAGUCUGUAUGUGCUGUUCUCCAUCCGUUUGUAUAUUUUUGUUUCAGAAAAGGCCAGACAGAAGACAGUUCUUAUGGUGUCUAUCACAGCUUUGAAAAUGCUCUUUGGGAGUCAGAAGAAUUUGUCCCUUGAAAUAAAAAACUUUACGUUAUUUUGGGUUUAUAUAUCUGUGCUCGUGGUGGUCCAGGAAAAUCUCCCAUUGUAGUUCAUUAGCUGCAAGGUGAUUUUGCUGGGAUUUUUGCCCGAUGUGCUGGAUGAUUCCCAGCACGUUGCUGUGAGGUACGAGCAUUUUCGUCCCGUGACCAAGGGGUGGCAGCGUGUCGUGAUCACACUGUUCCUAUGGAGUGCUUGGCUUUUCCUUGCUUUUACAGGAAAGCACCAACCACGCACUUGUUUACAUACUCAUACCUACACGUGAGGGUUUUACUCAAUUUCUUAUUGCUUUCUCUAGGUCUGAGGGAAAUGAUGACAGUUUUGCAACUUUCUUUUUCAUGUUCAGAGAGAAAUAUUUGUUUUCAAAGCUCGUAAAAAAUGGUUCGACAAUAGUUUUACAUGGCCCCAUAUUCAGGCAUGGGGGAAGGAGGGGAGGAACAAAUCUUUCUUCUAGGGAAUGUUUUUCUCUUAUCUCCCAAAAGAAAACAAAAAAGCCAGUGUUUUUGCAAAAGCCUCUUUCGCUCAUAGCAGGUUGUGAUAAAGUGUGGCUUUUUAAAGUACGCACAAAUAAUUUAGUUUUGUAAUGUCAAGGUUUUUGAGAAGAUUUGUGGUCAAAUUAAAAAAUACAUAUUGUAAUAUAUUUCCUAUUUAGAUGCAUAAAUAGUCAUUUUGGAUCAGGUUCUUACCCAUAUAUGCUCAUAUAACUCAUAUAGCUUUGAAAAUGUUAGUGUAUUCAUUAAAUUGUGGGUGUUUGGUACUGAUAAGACUCAGUGUGGGUGAGUUAACUGAGUUAAAACAUAUUUUGAGUUUGUGCAUUCAUGUAUAUGAAUAGAUCACUGUGCCAGUCUUUACUGCCAAUAUGAAACUACAAAAGGGAAUAAGAAUGGGCACUGGACACAUGUGUCUUGCAGCACAGAGCAAUGCAGAAGGGAACAGAGGGAGAGCGUGGUGGUACAAUCCAGUAAGAUGUUCUGAAGGAUGAAUGGGCCGGAGUUUUUGUGUAGUGGAAACACAAGUCCUUCCCAAAUUUUCCGCCUUAGAGUGUUUGGGGACCUUCGUUUCCCACAUUUGGCCAGAGUUUUAAUUAUGUCUCAUCUUUUAAGCACUUUAAUUUAGAGCUCUUUCAUAGUUUGUUUUGUUAAAAUAGCACUUGAAAGCCUUCCUAAAGAUUAGAGCAAAGAUUAAUGUCAUUUUUAAGCUUCAGAGAACUUGUAAUGUGGAGCUAGGGAGAGAGGUAGAGGGAGUCUGAUACUCAUUCACUUUGCAAGCAGUUAAGUUUAAGCAAAGGUAUCGAAGUGUGUGAGGUAAUGUGAAAAAGCCCAAUAUUGUGAUUCUCUGCUGGUGAAAACUUACCAGAUUUCCACUGAGCAUGUUUUUUUAAUUGCUUAUCACUUGCAUAGUGUAAAUUAUUUUCCUCUAAACAAGGUGCUUGUUAGUGGACUUCAGUUAUUGCACAGAUUCUUCCAUGAGUUGCUAUCCCUGUGCCUUUUAAAAGUGCACUUAUUAUUAUCUUCAGUUUGCAGGUGGAAAAUCAGAGGCAGAGUUGACACACAGACAGUUCAUCUCAGCUCUUUGGCAGUGAUGGUCUGCUGUGGCUCAGCCCUGUGAGCUGUUGCAAUUUCUGGCUCUGGGCCUCAGGGGCUUUACGACUAAAAAUCGUUCCAGUUACCACCAAGGAUAUUCUUACAGGUGUAAAACUAAUUGUGAAGUCUGGCACAUUUAAGUCUUUGCUGUGUCUAGCACUCAUUUCUGACAGUUUUCAUGUGACAUUUCAAAUGUCUGAUGUUUCCCUCUAGCUGUUCAAGGCUUUGGAGUUUGCUUUGAGCAAAAGGAGAUUUAAAGCAUCCAAAAGGAAGGAUAGGAGUAUCUUAAUGCUUUCAUUAUAAUAUUUUUGGGAGGGGUGGUUUGGAGCUUUUUAAGUUUCUUUUCUGUAUUUGUCAAUAGCAUCUGCUCCAGCAUUUCAAGCAGAUUUCACUCUAGGCAGACCUCAAAAGCAAAUGCAAAUUUCUCCCUAGGCUUGCUGUCUUGGAUGUACAGAGCUACAUGAAAUGGAAAAGCAGCAGUGGGAAAUACCUGGUAGCCUCAGCUCCAGUUGUACUGUAGUCAUUAAUUUUAAAGUGUUUAUGACAAAAGUAUGUAUGUGUUGCUUAUUGGCCAUUAAAAUGAGCUCCAACUCUGUAUAAAAGAAUGUAACUGUGGUAUUUUGGUCAGAGGAGAAAUGAAACCCAUGGAGACUGAGCAAUUACAGAUGUUACUUCAGUCUCCAAGCCCUUGGUCUGAAGACACUUGGUGAGCAGAACCAGCAGGAGGUUUACACAGAAUCCCUGUGCCUGCUGGUUUCCUCCUCUUCUGGCAGAGGCAGAGGGAGAAUUAAAUCCAGCAUCUAAGCAGCAGCAGGAGGUUUGUUACUGCCUGCUGUCCCUUCUCAAGGGUAUAAGCAGUGGUUGGCAGAACCCUAUGGAGUUUGUGUCUGUGAAGAUGAAUUCAAGUGUCCUGCAGUGCCUCUGGCUAAGGGGGACUAAAGAAGACUUUUAUUUGUAAGACCAGCCUUUGGCAAAAUAAAAAGUAUGAACUGCUUGCAAAACAGACAUUCAUGCUUGUACCAGGGCCACAGAAAAACAAUCUGGUGGCAGAUGCUGCUGCUGUCAGGUAGGGUGGUAUGGGACAUGGCUUGGGGGUGGAUGGCUCUUUCCACUUGCUCCAAAGACCUCUGAGUCCCUUAUGAGAAAUAGAGACAGCAAGCACAGCUCAUGUCUCCCUCUCUCCUUUUCCCCAGCCCUACCUCACAGGAGAAAAACCCUGGGUUUUUUUGCACUGCUGGGAAGCCAUGAGUCAGUUCUUCCUCCCUGUCUAACAGGUGGCUGCAGGCAACUUUGUCUCUCUGUGCCCUGGUGCCUAAAGAUGGAUCUCCCAGGAAGACCUCAGAUGGCUCCUCUCCAGCUGCUUCACAGUGACAUGCCCUCUGGCAUAGCAAAAUUCAGCUUCUGCCUGUCUCCCCUGCUCUCCUUCUAGGACAGGCAGAUUGGGUUAUCUUGUAUUCCAGAGGAACAAGGAGCCUUGAGCAGAGAGAAAAGAGUAUGCUUGGAUCUGCUUUUAAAUAGUGUUUGACCUCUUGCAUAAGAGUCUGAUUGUCCCAAGAUAAGUUUAUUGCAUACACAGCUCUGAGAUUUGCACAGAUUGCUCGUAGGAUUAUGUUUCAUGUGACUGUAGAAUCCUAUCUUUGUUUGUCAUUUAUUGCUAAAUCCCUCCUCAUGUCUCUGGGUAAUCUAUAUUAAAUAUGGUUUGUCUUUGAUUUUGUUUUUCCUAUUUCCUUUAGGUGUGAGAAAACAAAAGUAAUGUUUAAAAGACCAAACUUCUAUUACAUUGUUGAUAAGGAAGCUGUUGCCAUAGAGACAUAAAUGGUUUGUAGUGAACAGAAGAUUUUGACUUUUACUAGUCUUCCUUUAUUAAUACAGUUCCUCUGUCUGCUCUAUAUUGUUUUCUUUUUCUUUUCUCCUUUUUUUUUUUUUUUCAUGUGGGUGUUUGUAAUCCCAGAUACAAAAGGAGACACGUGGAGAAAACACUAAAGGUAUUAUAGUGCUUCACAAUGGUCUCUUUGAUAAAGUGGGUGCUGUUGAAGCAGCUCCUUUGUUCUAUUAUGAACUGCAGCACAAACAACACUUGUCAAAACACAUACAGUGAGUCAUUGCAAACAAGGGCAGUUAAUUAAGACUGACAUAGCCAAGAUUUAGGAUCACAGUAACCCCACCUAUUGUACUUGCCUUGUACUCUGUGCUUGAGUGUGGUGUGCUUGGAAGAGGCUUCUUCAAGGAGUGGGUAAUUCUCACUGAUUUCUGGGCACGUUUAUGUACCUUCUGUUUGAGGUGGCAUGGAUCUUUGGUAGAGUAUUGGAAUAACUAUUAGGGAAAUCUUGCUUGUCUGCCAGUGACUUGCUGCAUGACCUUCCACUAGUUAUUUAUCCCUGCAGGGGCAGGACCUGCAUCUCUUAGAUACCAUGAAGGAAUCAAGGCCAUGACUUCAUUUGUGGCUUCACUGUGGUAGUCCAGAAUUAAAUAAUUUCUGCUUCUGGCCUAAAGCUUUGGGCUAAAAAGAACCCAUAGAAACAUGAGAUUAUUAAUAAUUAGUAGUGCAGUCAUUAAUUCUGACAUUGGAAACAUUUGUGGGAGCAUUGCUAAUAACCAAAACAGGCUUGAUUGUGCUUGUUUAUGGUGGGCUAAAGGUCUCCCUCAUUACAAUGUUUCUCAGGCAGUGCCAGGAACUGAUAAUCACUAUAAUGUACAUUUUUUCUUUUAGCUAAGAAAAGCUAAUAAGCAUCUGUAGUUUUGAAAAUGUCAGAUUGAGCCAAAGUGCAUGCAAUUAGAUAAGGAUAAUGUAGCAGAUAAUAAGAAGAUACAUGAUGCUGGAUAAGCAGUUAUCAGACUGUUGUGCUUUGGCUGCUAAAGUGCUACAUGUCAUAUAAAAGAAAGUGGUUGUUGGUUGAGGGAAGACAUGCCAGAAGUUGUCAGAAAUGGAAAUGCAAGCUAAUGUGGUAAAGUGACAAGGUUAGUCCUGGGGGACUAUAAACAUGGAUGUCAGGCUUUUGAUAAAUGGAAGGGUUGUCUGGGUUAAAAGUCAUGUAUUUGGGAGGUGUGAAAGGCCACUGAGGAAAAAAAAGGAAGCAAAUAUGGAAAGGAAGAUGAGUAGAUGGGAGUAAUUUGUGGUUCCUGUCUCUAAGGUUUCUUUUUACCUUGUGUGUGAUGUCUGGACUGUUCUGGCUACUUUAGUGUGCUAAAACCUUUCUGAGACAACUUCUUUGCCCAAAAGGAGUUACAGCCAUGAUGAACUGAUUAAGCGAAUUUUCAGUGAGUGUCCUCAGUUUAAUUUGCCCCUGGGGAAAAGAAUUGAGGCACACUCUGAAAGCAAGAGAAAAAACAAGAGGAUGAAAACCAGACAAGGGACAAGGAAGGGAAAGAAGAAAGAGGAAAGCUGUGGUGCACAGAACUGGAUGCCAGCUUUGAUACUGGAAGACAAGGAGUUUUGCUUCUAAAAUAUUUUUUGCUAUAGGGCAAAAUAUGUCUUUUGGCUGAGACAGAAUAUUCCAUAUUUUCCUUUUCUUCCUACUUAGCCUAACGCAGGAGCUGGUUCUGGGCAGGAGGGCAGAUUCUUCAUAAUCUGGAAGAACAGGUUUUCUUGUGUAAUUUUUUUUUUUUCUGGAAUGUCUCCUCCAGCCUUUAUCCCACCUCUUGUGAAGUGUUCUGGUGUCUUCAGAGGGAAGAGAUUGGAAGCCAUUUCUCCUGUGUUUUGGUUCUGUGAUAACUUUUACCAAUUUUUUUUCACUCUUUAGAAAGCACCAAGUAUUUAAUAUCUUUAUAAAAUACCUAACAGAAAAGCUGUAUAGUUCUCAUCCUCUCCUUUUCUGUAACAUCUUUAAGAAGAUAUUCUAUACAUACUUAAGUAGUGACCAGCUAUGUAGUGUUACAGCUGCAGUCCUAGAAAAAUAAUAUUAUUAUCCUUAUGGAAUGUUUGAAUUGUGGAUAACAAAUUCAAGGUACAUUUUUCCACUUACAAAACAUUGUCCCUUUCCAUUUCUGUUUACAGCAGAAUAUAUCUUUUCUUUGGUGUAUCUUCAGCCCAGAUUAAAUGUGUUUGUAUUAGAGGGUUAUAUAGAAUGUGUGUGUUUCAUGCAGGUGUUUGGAGUAGUCUCAAGGAGAAUCAUAGAUUCACAGGAUGGUUUGGGUUGGAAAAGACCUUAAAGAUCAUCUUUCCCAUGGGCAGGGACACCUUCACUGUCUGUGAGCAUUUGAACUCAGGCAGGGGUUUAAAAUUCUCUUCCUAUGAAUGUUCAGGGAAGGUAGCAGCACAUUCACAGGAUGUAAAUGCAGAGCAUGUAUAAACAUGGCCAAAAGGGUGCUUGUGGUGUUGUUGCCUUUUUUUGUUUUUAUAAUUCAGUCAAUAGAAAGUUAUAUGCUUUUCAGUAAGCUGUUCUUCUCCAGGCAUUGGACAAACUUGAUAUUAGAGGAGAGGAAAAAGAGAGGAAAUCCACUGUCUUCUCUAUAUUGGGUCAUGAGGGAAUAUUUCCUUUCUCUCAGAGACACAAGGGUGAUGAUAACAACUACACAUAUCUGUGGGGGCUCUCUUCUCUUUGGAUGAGUUAGAAAGAAGCACCUCAUGGCACUGGACAGAGAAGGUGAAGGUGAAGAACAAGGUUAAAGCCCGUUUAAUCCCACUUUGUAAAUCUGCAUAUGAAAUCCCUCAAAUUAUAACCAUAUUCCCUCACUGUUUCUUCCUGUCUGUGCUAAGCUGAAGCUCUUCUGGGAAUGGGCUUUUGGCAGAUAGCACAUCUCUAUUGGGCUGGAAAGAUAUGUGAGAAUGCCACAGUCAGCUUUUUAACUGUGCAAUUUAGUAUAAAAUGUAGGGAGCAGCAGUGUGAAUCAGAGGAUUGAAUUUGCUCUAAAAGUUCCACAAAAGGCUCCUCUUUUUCUAAAGACAGAUUGUGCCAGUCCAACCUGAAAAACUAUAAUUUAAUUUGAAAGCACCGUUCUGCAUUCCUUUCACCUGAUCUCGAUUGGUGACAAGCCAUAAAAUUUCUCUGUGGUCCACUGGAGUUCAGUAGAUGAGAAUUUCCUAACUUCAUAAAAUGAUUAAAAGCACUCCAAAUGUGUACUAUUAGCAAGGUUUCUUUGAGACAACUCAAUCAGCAGGCUUCAGGGGCCUUUGUGAAGGGUUUGGGGAGCAUUGCUUGAAUGGCAGCUCUCUGGGAUAGGUAAUAACUGAGGGAAAGACUGCAAGGCUUUAUGCUUACACUAAAAGAAAAAAUGGUAGUGCAUUUGUCUGACAGUGUUUUUUCCUGUUUGCCACAAUGCCAUGAUAAAUUGUGCAAGGAUCAAUGUCUCUAGCAGGGAUAAGCGAUAUCUGUGUGGCUGAUUUUGGCAGCAGCCCACUCCUGUGUUUUUCUUUAACCCAGUGCCUUGGACAGCACUGGAAAGCAGAAAGAAGUAGAUUGGUUUUAUGUGUACUGCCUGUAUCUCAUCUAGAAAACUCAUCUUCCUCCAGCAUGUUGGAUCAUAAACCAAAAACUGAAUCCACUUUCAUCAAAUGUUUGGAAGUAAUGAACUAUUCAGGACCGUUUUGUUCUGUUCAAGGCAUUUCUACAAACAGAAGAGGGAUGAUUUAUCGACUCAUUCCAAAAUACAUGCUGGGCAUUAGGGACUGCCCUUCCUCUCUCCCUCUCCCCCCUUUCACACCGGUUGGCUGUGACUUGCCAAGCAAACAAGAAAACGUGACUAUUUUAUUUUUCUAUUCCAUUUGUUUUCAUGAAUGCCAAGCAGAGACUUGUUAAGGGGUGAAUGGGCAGCCAGAUAUUUGGAAACUGAGCCUUUUAACAUCAGUUAAGGUGCCCCAAAUUUCUAAGAUCAGAUGAAGAAAUCUGAUGGCUGCUUUUAGUCAAAUGGGUUAUUUGAGAGAUUCUUGAUACUGCUAAGCUUUCUGAUGAAAACUUAGAAUAUAUGUAACAGUGCUUAUUUCUUUUUUCUUCCUCUGGAGCUCAGAACACUCCAGCAAGGUACAGCACCAAAAUCUGUUCUUUACAUCACAGUGAUGUAAUCUUUAGACUUUCCAAAUGUAAAUUCGUGUGCUGACUAAAAGGCAAAGAGGCUUUUCAUACUUAAUGGGUCUUAUCUCUUAUCAAAGCUGGAGAUUAGAAUUUUCUAUGAUUUCGCUCUCCCUUUUGCUGAUAAUGGUGGAAAUGGAGAAUCUAUCCAUUCUCAGGAUAUCUAUCUAGCAGAAAGUUUCAUUGUCAGACCCAGGCAUUUCCAGCAUUUUUUUUUUGAUAACUUCAAUAAUCACUGCUUCUCAUUUAUUCAGGUCAAUGGACCCUUCUCGGGGGACUGUGAAGUUUUUUAAGGUGAAAGAUAUUGUUGGAAUAAGAAUUGAUGGCUGUAAUCUGGUCAUAAAUUGUUUUAGGCAGGAAAUAAUAAGAGUUUUAAGAUCUUGAGCAUUGAAGUAUUGAAAUAGUCUUCCAGAAAGAGCAGGCAAAGAUAAAAGUUAUAUCUAGCUUUAAGACAGAUCUCAGAUACCCUACUUUUCUGGGAUUAUAUACCUGCCCUUGAAAGCAAAGAAAACACAGGGUCCACUUUUACAACUAAAUCUAUUGAAAUUUUGUGUGAACUCAUGAAGAGGUCUCUGCCUCCAGCUAGGUAACAGAAACCUAAGUUUUAGCAGUUUCAUGCAGGCUAAAUAUCUUUUCAAAGAAUCUGCUGAAGAGGUAAACAUUAUUGCAUUCAGUGUUUGUAAAAAAACCCCAAAAUAGUCAUAGUCAAACAGGUUAUACGGGGCUGAAUCCAGUCUUUGCUCAUAUUUUUAAGAUAGUUCUGUCAGGUUUAUUCAGGAGUCCCUUGAUUUUGCUGCAUUUUAAACAAACUGUGUCAGAUGUAUAUGAUAUUUCUCUGAGCAUUUCUAGCUACCGCCCUGUAGGCGAAACACUUUUCCAUUUCAAGAGGCAAGAUUUUAAGAGGUCUGUCACUAGGAGGGCAGUAGCAUCUAUAGACAUUUAUGUUGCAAAUGGUCUGUGUGGGGAAAUCCAAUUCAGAGCAGUUCUUUUUCCCUUAUUGUUGUAGAAUUGUAUGUUCUUUUUUUUUUUUUUUUUGCCAAAGUGCUUUAGUGUUUUCUGCAUGAGUCCCAGAAUCUUUUACAGACAGUACCUUUGCCUAUCUCCAUAACAAAGACAGAUUGCAGAAGGAAAGCCUAUGGAUGAGAAGCUCUUGGAAGAAUAUCAGACAGUUUGUUUUCUGUUAUAGGACCACUAAAGUGUAUGAAAAAUUACGUGAGUUGCAGAUUUUGGUAUCUAAAGAGAAUUUAGUAUCUCAAUACAUUCAAAUGAUUGAGAACACUGGCUGAGUUUUAACAGCCUUACUGGAUAUUUUCCUUUUUUAAUACAAAUGAUCCCUAGGCCACAAGAGCAGUGCUGUUCAUAUGAUAGAACUGCCCAGCUGUAACCACCCAAGUUCAUCAAAUCCUCUCUUGUGACUCAGAAACAGGCAGAGCAAGAGUUCACUUCAUCUAGGAACACACCUGGUGCCCUUCAAUGACUCACUGCACUGUGGGGGUUCAUUGUGGGUUUAACAUGAUUUGAAAGGGUUGAAUAAUAAAACACAAAUUGUUUUAGAAACUCUACCUGGAGGAGCAAAACUGCCCAUUGCUACGUGGCAUUUGUCUAGUGAGAAGUCCGGGUUUAGUUCUCUGCCUUUUUCCAAACCCCAUCUCUCAUCAUGAGGUCUUGGCUGCUGCUGCAGACCCAGGAGGCAUCUCCUCUCUCUUGUCUUUUCUGAACACAGGAGACACAGGUGAGUGUAAAAAUUACCCAAGAAAGGUUACCACAGGCAAUAAAAGGCAAUUCCUGUUAGCUUCUGCCCCUCAGUACCCCAAUGCUGAUUUUUCAAGCUCCCGGUGACUCAGGAUGUUGACAGUGUAGGAGUGGCAGUGCCUGGAUUGUGAGCAGCUGUGUCCUUUACUGUGUCUGGCCCUGAGCACUUUUGAGAACUUGACCUAUGGCACAGACUUGUUUAAUGGAGAUACUUCUUCAAAUCAAGCGAUGAGAGGCAUAUGUGUGAAGGUGUUCAACGUAGCAAGACUGCUCUAAGGCAGCAAAUUUUUUAUCAAUGAUUCCAGCACUGGCAGAGGAGAAGGGCCCUCUCCCUUUUUGAGCAGUGCAGGAGGGGAACAACAGACGUGGUGCUUUCUGAAAUGGGUGCUGAGGCAGAGUGGUGAUGGUGGUGCUAUAUCAGUGCAGUCAGAGGCAGAGGAUGAAGAUGACAGCUUCUCACAAGUGUAAAGAAGUGGUUUGGGUGUUCAAAACAGCCAAAAAUAAUCUCCAGGUAUUUCAUUCCAGCAGCAGAGGGAAAGCAUGCUGCAUGUGAGUAGUAAGUCACACAACAUCGUGGCUAGGGCAUGUGACUGGAAGUUAGAAAGCUGUUCUUGUAUGGCAUUUAAUUUUUCAGAGACAUUUAAAUCCCUGUGUUGUAUUGGGCAGAUUUUUCCAGAAGAUUUUGGUUAUGCAAUAAAAGCCAUCUGAUAUUGUUUCUACAGUGCUGUUAAGAUGAAGUGUUCUUAUUAUAUCCCAUAAUCUUACUUGAGCUUUCUGUUCUUGAUGGUUUUUCUAAGCCCUGGGCCAAAGGCAUUGUGAUAGAAAUUAUUCACCCAACAAAAUGUCCAAACUGUGAAGCACUAAAACUCUUUUCCUUUUUUUUUCCUACUUCUCAAGGCAGCAAAGAUCAAGCAGUACAGCUUAUAUUGCUUGAAAGUGAUAAUAUGUGUUGAAGACUCAGGAUUUUUAUGGUUAUUUGAGCUGGAUUUUCACAUGCCACCAAACACACAGUCGAUCUAAAUCAGUGCCUCCCCAGGGCCAUGUCUGCCCAAGGGAUGCACGUCCCUCAUGCCAAAGCUCAGUGCAGGGCUCAGUGUGAUGCUCUUGUGGAAGAGCUGUGGGUACCACAAACACUGUGUUACGCCAGUGCAGUGCCAGUUUUCAGCUGCUGCUCAUUCAUAUUAGUCAGAACUAAUUUAUCUACUGAUUACUCACACUGCUGUAAACCUUCAGUUGCUGAUAGAAGUUGUUCAGGCCUCUUUAAAUACCUCUAUGUGGUAUUACAAUGUACAUAUUACAAUAUACAAUAUUACAGUAUACGGUACCCAUCACUAUGUCGGGUACUCCAAACAUACCAACAGUGCUGGACUUAAACUUGCCAGUGAAUCCCUCAUUACUCAGGUUUCCUUGUGUGCCUUUUGUUAGUCUUUAAUUAAAUGGUUGCGUGUCACUGUGGUUGUGUUUGUUGUUUUGCACAGGACCCCUCUUCCCAUGCUCACAGUGGUUUAAUGAAAAGCUCUUCAACAUUUCAUUUUCCACUCAUUGUUUAAUGUAUGGCCUUAGGCCUUAGUCUGCACUCUCUUCAGAUCCUGUUUAAUUUUCUCUUGGGCUCUUCUCUAGCAUUUACUGCCACAAUAUUUGAAUGCAUCUCAAAAACUAGUGAAUUUGUUUUCAUGGGACAGCUGCUGAGCAUGAGGAGGGGUUUAUUCCCCCAAGCUGAGGAACAGUUCUUAAUGUAACCUGAAUACCUUGAUGCAGAGACAAUUUUUAUGAGAGUCUAAAACACAGAUCUGUGACCUCGGUGACAGUGCUGAUCCUCAGCAUUUCUCAAACAGUAUCGGAAGUCCCAGAGGUGAACAUUUGUGAAGUAAGUAACACUGUAGUGCUCACUUAGCAAAAUUCAGCUAAAAUGUUUUGCCCAGCAUCACAGAAUCUGGUUGUAUGAGAGACAGGGAAAUCAUCUGUGUCUUCAGCAUGUCUUGCUUAGUCAUGAAACUGUCCUUCCUCCAUUUUUCCAGCUCAGUGCUUCAUUUGCUGCAUGCUGCUGUUUUUCAGUCAUGCAUGUCACCAUGGGCCCUGCUAAUUCCCUCAUGAGGCCUUUGCACUAGAAAUCCCUGUGUGCUCAAGGACAAGGCUAAAUUAAGGUUAGUUCUAUAUAGACCCCCAAUAUUAUGCUGUACUUAGUGUUAAAGCAAGACUUGUAGGGAGAUGUAAUAUCUUUUAUUAGGGCAACUGGUCUUGUGGGUAGACAAACUUUCAAGUGCAUGAGCCCUUCAGAUUCCUCUUACAUCAGCUGACUUCCUCCUACAAACCACAUCUCUUUUAUGUCCUCAGAUCACUGAGUCUACAGAAGCAGCCCCGUCUUGGAAAAGUGAGCAGGAAAACAAGAGGUGGCAUAACAUGGCAGCAAAUGGAGUCCCCAGUUAUUCAUCAGUAGAUUAAAUGUAGGAGGGUGUGACUGUUAACAGAGUAACUGAGAAUAAUGUUGUUCUCAUGAUCUCUAAGAAUCUGAUAUUGUGGGGAAAUAGGGCCAUCUCUGCAGUGUCACAGCUGUCAAGACACUGGAAAUAUGUAAAGAUUUGGGAAUGCUGAAUUCUUUUCCGAUAGCAAAGGGCAUAUUUUGGUAAUUUCCACCUGAUUCAUUAGAAAAUCACAUCAACAGCUCUGACACAUUUCCACUAUCUGUUCCCCUUUUGUAGGCAUCUGACUAUCUUUUGUAACAUGCAUUAACAAUAAAUUAUUUUAGUAGAACUUACCUUUCUGUUGGUAUUCAUACAGUUCCUGACACACAAGGGAUGUGAUUUGUGCUGGAGUAAUUAGGUAAACUUAACUGAGCUGUUUUAUAAAUGAACUGAUUUUUUUCUAACCUCUCCAAUUUCAGUUUACAUGAAACUGGCAAGGUUGUCUUGACGUUAGGGACAGUUCUGACAAUGGCAAUUUAAUUUAGGCUAAAUUAAAACAGAAGAAGGGAGUUGUAGCAAUCUCUCCAGAUGGGUGAAAUCACCUUUCAGAAAGUCUCCUAAUCACUAAGACAUAGGAUUUUAUAGGGCUGCCUUGUCUUACCACCUUACAGAAAUAAUUAGACAGUCGUAGGAGCAAAGUUUAAACCCAGGUGUUUGAUUUCUUGAGAGAGUGUUUUACACUCCAUGAUAGAGAAUUCUCUGGCCUAUGUAAUCAUUUAAGUAUUCCAUGCAAAUCAGCUCACAUGGAAAAGAGUGACAGUAUCCUCUCCAAGCAUAUUUCCAAAAUCUUUAGUCUGGGAUACACAAGGAUGAAUUUCCAGGAGGUCCAGCAGUGGACCAAAACCAACUAAGCUGAAAGAAAAAAACAAAACCAAAGUGCAAUUAUUUUUUCAUGUUCUAUCUUGUUCUCAUGCAUGUUCUUCUGAAAUGUUGUAUUUUUCUAGUUGUUACUUCGCCGUGUUUAUCUCUACUGAAGCUAUUCAAGAGCUGUUUAUCUUCUUGUAUCUUCAGUGUUUUUAUUCCUGAGAAAGUAUAGUUGAAACUUGUCUCUUGUUCAUCUUCCUGCUCUGUGGGAUGCCACAUCUGAGUUAAGUUUAGGCAGAACUUCAGACCUGAUGUAACAUUCUUAGAGGAUUUUCCAAUUUUUAAAAAGACAGAGCAUCCUUAGGGUUUUAUAACAUUUCCUGGAUGAGUCAAUAGGAAGAAAUGUUCAUCAUUGGUUAAUGGAAAACAGGAGUCCUCCUGCUAAGAGAGAAAUGCAGCACCACAGGAUUUUUUAUUUUAUUGCUUUAUAUUGCAAAAGAUAUGCUUCCAAAUUCUCUGAGGCUGGAGAAACUUCAGGUACCUGGAAAAUAGAAAUAUUCCUUGUCUUCAGUGGUUCAAAAGACUAAAUUUGAAAGGGAAUAUAAAAAGAAACAAAUAGAGGUUUAUGAAUGAAUGCAGAAGAAAUUAUUUGUGUGUGUGCUCUGAGGACAUAAGUGAGAGAGGUUUGCACAGAAUUGGCCACAAAGAGGAAAACAAGCUAAAGUGUGGUCUGUUUGCAAGAAAACUUAGUAAGGGUGAUAUUCCUGAGACUGUUAAGAAUUCUUUCUGUAAGGAAAGUUCAGUUUCAGUUUGUGGCCCAUAAAUAUUUAGUAGUUUGCAUUCAAGAGCAAUAAAAUAUGAAUUUAAAAUAAAAAAAAUGGUAUUUGGUGCUAUGUCCUAUGCUAAAAGGAAUAGUUCUGAACUAUUUGGAGAAAUAGGGUAGAUCUGUUCAGUGUUUUCUGUAAUUAUGUUCAGUUCAUCUGAUCCUCUGGUCACAAGAUUCUGCUGCACUGGAACUGUGGUUUUAGGUGUGAGUACUAAAUAAGUAAAGAACUUGUAGUCCUGAGAGCACCAGACAAUAUUCAAUAUUCCCAAAUCACCCUGAGCUCCUGUGUUGGAAAGAAUUUGCUGCAUUGCUGGAAAGGUGCUGGCAUAUUUAAUGCAAGCAAGGGCAGCUUGCACACCUGAUGUAUGCAAUGAACUUGUACCCACCUGGUAAAGCAGAAAUCACAGAGUUUAGGCACAUGAGCUGUUAAGUAGCAGCUCUCAGGCAGUAAGGGCCCAGUGAAGGCUAAACUAAUCCAAAUUACCUUGUGUUUGCCAUGGGCUAAGAGUAUGCACAAAGAAGGUUAUUGCACAUCAGCUGCCAAGUGAUGGUUUUAUUGCUUGCUGUAUCUUGCCUGUUUGCACCUGAGCCCCAAGGAACAAUCUGUCCUUUGGAGACAGCCUGUUUGUGCCUCUCCCAUUGGAGUCUUGAUCUGUGAGGGGCACUAUGACAAUACAGUGAUGGACUGGUGAGUGUGGAUGAGAGCAAUCUGCUGUGCUGCCUCCAAUCUUAGACUAAACUUGUGAUCUUCACUUGAAUUUUUAGUGCAUAAAGUAUCCUAGCUACCCUAGCUAUCUCAUUCUGAGCUUCCAAACUAUUGAUGAAAUAUUGGUUUAGUAUUCCGUACCUAAUAAUGUGUAUUUCUCUUCUUCCCUGAGACUGGUGGGAGCCUCUCAUCUCCUCUGCAGAUAACCAGCUUGAACUCUCUCUACCCCUUCCCCCAGAAAAUGUCUGGGUACCCAUGUGCUGGUUAUAUCUGCAAGAUCUCUCCUUCACCCUAAACUCAUAAGGAUACUGGUGUGUCAUGUCAGUCUAGACUGGACUGCAGUAAGUUAAGAAGUGGUGCACUUAAUACAGAUGUGUUUGGCUACUCUAGAAGGUUAAAUUAAUUGCAAUCAUCUAAUCUGUUGUGGUCCUUCUGGUAGCUCACAGGUCAGAUGUUGUACAUGGAACACAUUUGUCAUCCAUCCAUCCAUCCAUCCAUCCAUCCAUCCAUCCAUCCAUCCAUCCAUCCAUCCAUCCAUCUCUUUUAGCCUAGAGAAGACCAUAGGAAGGUUCUUGCUCAGGAAAAGUUGUGCACCCUUUGCUUAUGGAAUAAGGGGAGCUGCUGUUGCCAGGGCUGUGUGGCAGAUGCUGAUGGAGCCAGAGCUCCAUCCAGACAUUAUGCAACAAUGCAGGGAGUGUUGGUGCUGGUUGUGGCUGGAAUGCAUCUUCAAAACUGCAAAGUUCUACAUGAGAUUGAAUUGUUCUGGAGUUGUCUGACUGACACCUUCCUUCUGCAGGUCAUGAGCUUCCAUGAGUUAUGCCAGCUCUGAGCUGAGGAACUGUUGAUAGAGUGUAAUCAUGUUCUGAGCAUGCCAUGGUGACAGAGAAUCCAUCAAGGUGUUUAAGUCAUGCAGUCAUUAAUGACUUUGCUAUGCACCUCAUUUUUCACCUGGCUUUGCCUGAAUUUGUCUGGCUUCAGAUUUCAAGCACUGAUCUCUGCUGGGAGGCUGAAAACCUUUCUAUCAUUCUAUAUAUUUGGUAGGGGAAGAAACUUGUGUGCUAUUCAUGUGGGUUUGUGCUAACAUCACUUCCUUUUUUUAACUUCUUUUCCUACAUAUAACAUUGAAUGUCAGAAAAAACCUCCUUGAUUUGCUCCUGCAAAGGUUUGGAAAAGAAUUGCUUCAACUGUGGAGGUAGAGCUGCAACUCCUGUAGGUGUAGACAUGUCUACUAAAAGGUUAUUUUGACUGGGUGCCAUUAGGAGUUUAGUCCUGGCAGCACAACUCUCACUGUGGGCUCCUUGUGGCUGCCAGAGACAAGAAGUUUGUGUUUGCAUGGCCGACCUUGCUGAACUUGCUGCUGGGACUUAACUGCUCCAGGGAUCUGAACUUGCUAAAACAAAACAAGUGUGGGCUGCAGUCUCCUAUCACUGGGUAUGAAGAUAUACUGCGUUUCUUAAUUUAUUUCUCCCUGAUCCAUAUCUCUUGUCAUGAAAUUCAAAUUACUUCUUACCACUUAGGAGUCAGCAAAUUGCCUGUUUAUUGUCCAUGAGACUGAUCAGAAUGGAAAUUCUGUGGAAUGAUAUUGCAGAAUUUUGAGUAAACAAGCUCACUUUUAGUAGUGUUUGUCUGUCAUAUUUUUAACAGAAUACGAAGAUUUAGAAUGUGCUGCUCUUUACUGAUAAAACAUAUUACAAAUAAUAAGAAUAAUUAACUUGAACAUGGGAGUUUGGUUAUGGGAAAGAACUGAGCUCUGCAGGGCUUUGGCAUUUGAAUAUCUCUGUGGAACUGGCCUAGAAUCUUGCACCUGGACCACAUAAACGAUGGAUUCAUGGCUUCUGCAUGCAGACACCAAAUGAAAUUCAGGAUAAAAGAAAGAAAAUGGAGGAGAAGAAUUUCUCUUACCCGAAAUAUACUGUAUGUGUGUGAUGAAACACAACAGCCUAUUGAGAGAAACAGCAGAAAUAAAAAUACAAUAAUGGUAGAAAAAGGACCAAGAGAAUAUUCUUGGAAUAUGUGCAGAAAAAAUUUUGACAGGAACCACUACUGAUGCAGAAAGAGAUAUUAAUUCCUCCUUCCUGUUGAGGGGGUAAUAGGGUAGAUAGUAAAAUAACCUGGAUAACUUUGGGUGUGGUGAAAUUGAAAUUCAAACUGCUGGAAAAGCUGAUUUGAAGAGAUCUGGUGCUUCAGCAGAUACAUUUCUAAGUCCUCAACACUGCAGGUAAUGCUGGUUUUCCUGGUGUACUUAGGUCUGAUUUUUAAACAGGCAUUUCACAGAAUGACCCUAAUGUUACUCCACCAGGAAAAAAUGUUUUUUUCAGCUGAAGUUCUUAACACAGCUGAAGUGAUGAGCAGAGAGAUGAGACCAAGAAGGUUAUCUCCCAUCCUUCCAGAAUGGGCUUUGCUGCAUAAUAAUACAUUCUUCUGUUUGUCCAGUUUGACUUUAAAUUAUUCAAACUAUGGGCAUCCCUGAAGUAACCUGUUUCAUAACUUGAAUCUCAAUGAGCCCCUCAUUUCACAGAACAAACCCUGCUGAAUGCCUCUGGGAGCUGCAUGUGCUGAUUUGGGAUGGGAUAUGGGCCAUGGAAUAUAAAUUGUUCAUGGCCAGCCGCAGGGCUUGAGAAUGACACUGUGAUCUAAGCUGUGGAUCUCAGCUUAGAACAAACCAGCUGGCCAUGUGUGCACUAAUCUCUCUCUGUAGACGUUUUGAAGUGCCAUCCUGUGAGGGCCAUGGUGGGUAUUGGUUUCAGUGGAGCCUGGGUUAUAGCUGCUGUAUUGAGACACCACUAAUGGGAUGACAUGUGAUCUGUGAUUUGGCAUUACUUUGCCAUUACUCUCAACUGCCAGUUUCCAGAUCAAUGUAGAGAGUAGUGAACCCCUUCCUUUUAAGAAACAAAGUCAAUGGAAAUCCCCCAAAAAGCAUUGGACAGAACAUUGAUCAACUGUUGGUAGCAGGUAAGCAGGGCUUGUUUUUCAGCUUUAGCUGUGCAUGCCUGUUUUGCCAUUUGGAACAGUCCUGCACAGCUUUCUUUCCCUCCUGGGAGUGAACAUCAUACUUUUCUGCUCCCAUGUUGCUGCUGGGAAGGUGCACAGGAUAUGGAGGCACUUGAAAGAUUCCCAUCAUGGUUCCUGUUGCAUCACAGGAGCAGGUAGUGUGUCAUCUGGCAGGUCAUGCAUGAGCCAUUCUGUGUUAUGUGUCACAAACAUGUAGACUGAAAGGAGCAUUCAGAGCAAAGCACAGUCUAACUCCUCUAUUGCUGCUGCCUCCCAGGCUCUUCCUGGCACAGCACAGCAGGAGAAAACAUGAGCUGAGCAGUGCACUGCCAUGGAGAAAUGGAGCAGGUGUUAAGGUUCUGAAAGAAAGCUGGAGUCACCAAAUAAAUUCUGGUACUAAAACAUAAAAGAAUGCAUACUGGAUCACACAAAAGUGUUCAGGUGAGAAUCGUGUAAAAUUCACAACUUUCAAGCUGCUAUAGAAUUUCUCCAAAUUUCCAGGAAAAUAGGUGAAGAUAAAAGAGAGGGAAGACAAACUGAGAAAGCCUGCUCUUGGCUUUGCUGUGCAUACCUACAAUCUUUCACAGGAAUAUAAGCAGGACUUGCUUCAGAACAGCUGCUUCAGGAUUGUUGAUAUACAUCUGUCUUGCUCCACCAUCAGCUCUGUGAGGCAACUUGUUCCCCUUUUGCUCCAGAGUUCCUUCGAGUUUCUUGAACUUUCAAACUCUAUUUCCUCCACUUACAUCAGGAAAAAAAAUAUGAUUGUGAGGAAGAAAGCUAUGAUGUGAAAAGCUGAAAGAGAUUCCAACUCAUUUUGUUUCUGUGAAGAUCUGAAGUGCAUUUCCUCCUCAUCGGUUAUAUGACUCUCCAUCCCACAUCACUUACUUUUCAAUUAAUAAUUUUUUUCCAAAUCCAUGCUCUUUGGGGGACAGAUUUUUAUUACUUCAGGAAUCCUCUGCUUCUUUUUACAGCUGUUCAGAUUAUUUUACAUAAAUCCUUUGUGAAUUAUGAAAACUUCUAGCUACUACAGCAAGAACCAGUAUUCCCCAGAGAAUUGUUUUAUCCCUUGCCUACAGGCCUGAUGCUGACCCCUAGGAAUCAGUAAGGAAUUUUGCCAGUAAUGCCAUGGAGACGGAUCCCAGCCACAUGGGUAGAGCCUGCGGUGUUUUUGCAGAUGAAGGCAAGGCAGUGCCUGAGCUGUUGUCCUGGUAGGAAUUUCUUCCUUUAGGAGUCACUCAAAGCCAUUGACCCAUGUGAGGCCAUAACUGGUAGAACAAGAUCAACCUCUGUGAAGCCUGUCCCCCUUCAGUGUGCCCUUGCAGGAUGCCUCUUUCUCACUUUUCCCAUCUGCUAUUGCUCCAAAGGGACAUUUGCACUUCCCGUAUCUCUUCCAAACCCCACUGUAGCAGCAAAAUGGUUAAGUAACUGCCCCUUUUUAGGUAACGCUACUGAUAAAAAGUACCUUCUGGUCUUGUUUUAGCUUCAUGCCAAGGCACACUGAUAGCUGCUGGUGGUGUGCCUUCUUCAAAGGAUGGCUGCCAUCCUUGCUUACUUCUCUGCAGAGAGCAAAGAGCCUUUGAAAGUGCCUUCUGCCUCAUCGGAGUAAUGAGCGCUUAAAAAACCCCCACACCAACCCGAGAGUUGGCUCAGUUGUUCAGAAUUUUGCUGGAUUCCGUGUAAUUAAUUAAGAUUUUUUUUUUUUAAAAAACGUUGGUAGCUCUGCCAGUCUGUGUAUCUAGGUUGUGCCAGUUUCCAGGAUUCCCCUCCACCCCCAUCCCCGCCCCUCGCCCCGGUUCCUUGCACAGACGUGAGCAGCUGCAGACAUGGAAGACUUCUUUGUAGAGGAGGCAGCUCCAGUGAAACAGGUAGGCGGGCUGGGGUGGGCACUCAGUGCCCUGAGCGAGCUGUGACAGCUGGCAAUAUUUAAAUCCAACAGACUUAGGCUCCAGCCAGUUCACAAGCUCUUCCUGCCUGUGAAGGAGCAGGGAUGGGAGGAUCUCUUAGAGACACAUCAGGUGUGGCUGAGAGCAACCUGUAAUUCGGGAUGAAGACGCCCCAGUGUCCAUCAGGAGAAGGCUAAAAACUUUCUUGUGUGACUGGAAACCUUCGUGUUUUGCUCAAGGGGGCGGGUGUUGUUGUAAGCAGAGGUCUCUUUCCUGGGAGGAGGGAAUUCAGCAGGAACGAUGCUGAGAAGUUCUGAAGUCUUGUGAGAGCAGGCUGGAGUUUUUCUGUGCAGGCCUGAGUGUGAUGAGUGUUUCACUGAUCUGCACUCAGAUGGGUCUGUUGACACUGUUAUUGCUUUGCUGAAUUUUC